UACGGAGGGUGCGAGCGUUUGUCCGGAAUCAUUGGGCGUAAAGGGCGCGUAGGUGGCGGGACAAGCGUGCGGUGAAAGCUCGGGGCUCAACCCCGAGUCGGCCGUGCGAACUGUUUUGCUUGAGCACUGUAGAGGCAGGCGGAAUUCCGGGUGUAGCGGUGGAAUGCGUAGAGAUCCGGAAGAACACCGGUGGCGAAGGCGGCCUGCUGGGCAGUAGCUGACACUGAGGCGCGACAGCGUGGG
rnacentral:rRNA from 1 species